rnacentral:rRNA from 1 species
UGGGGAAUAUUGGGCAAUGGGGAAACCCUGACCCAGCAACGCCGCGUGAAGGAAGAAGGCCUUCGGGUUGGUAAACAUUCUUUUAUCCACGGGAGCGAAGGACGUGACGGUACCUGGAGAAAAAGCAACGGCUAACUACGUGCCAGCAGCCGCGGUAAUACGUAGGUUGCGAGCGUUGUCCGGAUUUACUGGGUGUAAAGGGCGUGUAGGCGGAGAAGCAAGUUGGGAGUGAAAUCUAUGGGCUCAACCCAUAAACUGCUCUCAAAACUGUUUCCCUUGAGUAUCGGAGAGGCAAGCGGAAUUCCUAGUGUAGCGGUGAAAUGCGUAGAUAUUAGGAGGAACACCAGUGGCGAAGGCGGCUUGCUGGACGACAACUGACGCUGAGGCGCGAAAGCGUGGGGAGCAAACAGGAUUAGAUACC